rnacentral:rRNA from 1 species
AGAGUUUGAUCCUGGCUCAGAACGAACGCUGGCGGCGUGGAUAAGACAUGCAAGUCGAACGCUGACAUUCAGGUAGCAAUAUUUGAAUGUCGGAGUGGCGCAAGGGUGCGUAACACGUGGGUAAUUUGCCGUGAAGUUUGGGAUAACUUGCUGAAAGGCGAGCUAAUACCGGAUGUGAAUGUAAAAAGGCAUCUUUUGACAUUCAAAGUUGGGGACCGCAAGGCCUGACGCUUUACGAUAAGCCCGCGGCCUAUCAGCUAGUUGGUGAGGUAACGGCUCACCAAGGCUAAGACGGGUAGCUGGUCUGAGAGGACGACCAGCCUCACUGGAACUGAGACACGGUCCAGACACCUACGGGUGGCAGCAGUCGAGAAUUUUUCUCAAUGGGCGAAAGCCUGAAGGAGCGACGCCGCGUGGGGGAUGAAUGGCUUCGGCCCGUAAACCCCUGUCAUUUGUGAACAAAUUGUUUCACCUAACACGUGAAACAUUGAUUGUAACGGAAGAGGAAGGGACGGCUAACUCUGUGCCAGCAGCCGCGGUAAUACAGAGGUCCCAAGCGUUGUUCGGAUUCACUGGGCGUAAAGGGUGCGUAGGCGGUUUGAUAAGUCUGAUGUGAAAUCCCGCAGCUUAACUGCGGAACUGCAUUGGAAACUGUUUGACUAGAGGAAUGGAGGGGAGACUGGAAUACUUGGUGUAGCAGUGAAAUGCGUAGAUAUCAAGUGGAACACCAGUGGCGAAGGCGAGUCUCUGGACAUUUCCUGACGCUGAGGCACGAAAGCCAGGGGAGCAAACGGGAUUAGAUACCCUAGUAGUCC